rnacentral:rRNA from 1 species
CCUACGGAUGGCAGCAGUGGGGGAUAUUGCACAAUGGGGGGAACCCUGAUGCAGCGACGCCGCGUGGGUGAAGGAGUGCUUCGGCAUGGAAAGCCCUAUCAGCAGGGAAGAAGCAAGACGGUACCUGACUAAGAAGCCCCGGCUAACUACGUGCCAGCAGCCUCGGUAAUUCGUAGGGGGCGAGCGUUAUCCGGAUUCACCGGGUGUAAAGGGAGCGUAUACGGCCAAGCAAGCCAGGGGGGAAAGCCCGGGGCCCCACCCCGGGACUGCCCUUGGAACUGCAUGGCUCGAGUGGGGGAGGGGCAGGCGGAAUGCCUGGUGUAGCGGUGAAAUGCGUAGAUAUCAGGAGGAACACCGGCGGCGAAGGCGGCCUGCUGGACCCCGACUGACGUUGAGGCUCGAAAGCGUGGGGAGCGAACAGGAUUAGAUACCCUGGUAGUC